AUGUUUCCACGUUUUUCAGCCUGGAAGACCAAAGUCCUCUCUAUUAAGCUGAUGAGAUGCCCUGUGUUUGGGAAAAGCCCUCGCGAGCUUAAGGAUCCAGACCCGGGCUUCGUGCUCAAAGCAUUAGCGGCGCAUGAGACAAUAUCCUCUCUCUUGGCAACAAAACGAGCCCAAAUAUCAAACGGCACCGAUUCCUUCUCGGAGAAAAUUACCCAUCGCGUAAAACGUUAAUGGCGGCGCCGGCCACACGUGGCAGCGAGCUCCAUCCACCGCUCGGGUAAGACGCCGCCCUUCCAAACAUCCCAACUUGCCUUUUCGAGCUCGCUUCUAUUUAUUGACGUUUCCUCCUCGAAACGAGGCUGUUUAUGGGUCUUUGUGUGGACCCCGAGGAUGUUUUCUGAUUCUCCUGCCCUUUCCCCCCUCCCCUCUAAACUGGAGAGCUGCUAACUUUAUUAGCUCCAUAUAUGGCAGCCCUGUUUUCUCACGCCUUUAAUGGCUUUCUUUUGAUCUGGCCUCGUCUUGCCUCGUUUUUCUGGACGUGAACCCGGUGUUCAAGCUGAGAUGGGUUUAUAACCUGCCUCCCUUGUUAAUACAUGACCCAUCGGUUUAAUAAUCCUCUCCGAGUGCCGAUAAGAAACCUCUGAAUGUUUUAACGGCCAGCGGGGUUGGCCGAGAUGCCCAGAGAUCGCUGGGUUCCUGGCUACACCCUCCAUGCUGAUAUCAGUAAUUAAAAUUGAUUAAAACUGCGCCUUGUGCUGCCCCAGCCCCUGCUUGUCCUGAAGGCUGAGGGCCAUGGGGCGAUGAAAAGCAGCUGAGGUCCCUCCUCUUCCUCACCCGUUGGCCCCUCUGGGGAGGGCAGCGUGUGGGGAUGCCUGUGUCUCCCUCGCUGUGUUGUCACUGGAGGCUGGGACAAAUGGUGGCAGUGACAGUGGUGGUUGGUGCCACCUGAGCCUGGUCCUUCUCAUGCUGGUUGGUGCCACCUGAGCCGGGUCCUUCUCAAGGCCCCUUUGGGCUGUUGGGGGGACGGUGGUGCUUGCUCCGGUCUCUCGCCUGGGUCUGUCUUCUUUAAAACCUUGGAAGGAGUUGGA
rnacentral:lncRNA from 1 species